AAGCGCUUGACACCCUUUAAAAAAAUGUAUUUAAAGAGGCUGGUUCCUAUCCAUCCGACUGGAGGCAUCUCAGUGCAAGAGCAAAGCUAAGUCCUGCACACGCUCCUCCCCUCCUCCUCCUCCUUCUCCCCCCAGGUUUUCCCGAAUGUAUCUACUCCGGUUACAACUAGACGCGGCCCCUCCCCCACCUGCCUCCCCCCUUCCUUCCCUCGAUCGUGGAGGGAGCGUUCUCUGUGCCUUCCCAAGUCCCCGUGGGGGACCUUCUAUGUUGGAGUGGGGGGAGGGGGGGAGGGUCAUAUAACGAAGGCCAGAAAGAACAAAUUAGAUAAUCAAAAGAAUUAUAGUAAUUGCUUUCACUUUCCCCCGCCCGCUCAGCGGAUUCCCUCCCCCGCCCCUCCCCUGGUUUUUCUGUCUGUCGGGAAUACUCGGUCUUUCCGACCCCCUCCCCUCCCCCAGGUUCCUCCUCUCCUCUCCCCUUGCUCGCGCGUUCCCUCUCUUCCUCCGUUUUCUGGUGUGCUGGAACGUUCAGCGGAAUAUGAUGAAUGAUCACCUGUCACAGCUUGUUUAUUAUAAUGCAGGCAAUCAAUUACACAUCCCCAAUGCUGGCCGGCCCGCAGGAAAUUUAUAUGCUCAGCACAAACCAAUGUGAAAAUGGAAUCUCAUUUGCCAAAUGUCUUUCUCCCCGUACAGCACGAUGAUUACAGUCUGUGUUUGUUUCAACAGUCGUGUACAACUGACAGUGCCAUCAUUUACUGCCUGGCUCAGGUCACGUUACUCUAAGGCUUUAUUUAUGGUGUUACGAAGGGCAGCACAGGAAAAGGACAAGGGUGUCUGUCAGGGAUGGCACUGUGUUAAAAAGUGGGCGUGCAAGGGCCGCAUUCCCGGGCAGCCGCUGCAACCUCAGCCCCUGGGCCCUUACCUCCGCAGCCUCUCCCAGCAUCCAGCUACCCAGACUCCAAGGCCCCAGGCGAGAGCCAGCUCUCGGUACCUGGAGCUCCACAGGUCCCAGAAUCGGGGUGGAUCAGAGUUCAAAUUCUGGUUCUGCUACUGUCUAAUUGCGUGCUGCAGGGACUCAAUCUCUUCAUCUGGGAAAUGGGAGUAAUAACCCUUGGCAGGAAUGUUGCGAUCCUCUGGGAUGUCAGAGGUGUUGAUGAAUGUUAGUUCCCGGGACUUCGGAAAGAGGUCCCGUUGGAAGAGAUGUGAAUUGGAAUUCACACCCUAUAUUAAAAUCUCCUCCAAUCUUCACCUCUGAGACAUGGCUGUCUCAAGACUGUUUUGUUUCCCUUCCUGGUGGAAUUUUGCACUUUUAUGUCCUGUGUAGCAGCAGGUAGUGUGGCUUUGAGAAAAUAAAAUGGCCACCUUGCUCCGCUGUUCUUUCUUUGUAAAAAAAAAAAAAAAAAAAAAAAAACGGCAUAGCAAUCUUGGCCUUUCUAGCUGUGUGACCCCAGGCCGGUCAAUCCCUCCUCCUCUCCAAGCCUCGGAUUCCUCCCCUGAGAAGUAAAGAAAAUAACUCCUAAACUGCCUCCCGAGGCUUGCUGGCAGGAUCCAAGGUGUCCAGAGAUGUUAAAAAAAAAAAAAAAAAAAAAAAAAAGCCCAGUAAAUGGGAAAGUGAGGCUGUCACUGCUGAGUGGCAUCCUGUUUUCAGGAGUUCUGGUUGGUCCCCAGAGUUCUGCUACACAAAAUGUUGACCCAAAUUUGUACCCCCACAACACUUGGUGUCAAGUGGGAGCUCAGAAACUGAGGGGCAGGCAGAUGCUUUUAUGUGUAUUAGGUUGUCUUUUAUUGUAUUGUAUAGUUCCUUUUUUUUUUUUUUUUUUUGAGAUGGAGUCUUGCUCUAUUGCCCAGGAUGGAGUACAGUGGCACGAUCUUGGCUCACUGCAACCUCCACCUCCUGGGUUCAAGCAAUUCUCCUGCCUCAGCCUCUCAAGUAGCUGGGAUUACAGGCACGUACCACCAUGCCUGGCUAAUUUUUGUAAUUUUAGUAGAGACAGGUUUUCACCGUGUUGGCCAGGCUGGUCUCGAACUCCUGACCUCAACUGAUCCACCCACCUCAGCCUCCCAAAGUGCUGGGAUUACAGGCUUGAGCCACCGUGCCCAGCCUGUACUAUAUAUUUCUUUAUUAUUUGACACGUGUAUUUGUUUAAUGGCCCUCUGCUCCACCAGUAUGGAAGCUCCAAAAGGAAAGAUACCAGAUUGAUCUUGAUCACCUCUGCCUCCCCAGCACCUAGUCUUCCUUGGCACAUCGUGAGUGCUCGGGUCAGGCUGUGCCACAUCCACCCAGCCUUGCCUGGGGUCAUUUAUCCUACAUGUACUCAGAUCACGUGAACUGGUGAUGGGCCACCCAUGUGCCUGCCUGGAGACUCCUAUUCACCCUUCAGAUCAAUAUCCCCCAAAUAAACUCCCAGUCACUCUGGCAUCCCAUGUUGCUUUGUGAUCUCUGCCUCUCUCUAGACCAUUUGGCUCCUAUGCACAGGCAGCUAUGUCUUUUUCAUAUUUGGGUCCCCAAAAUGCACAGUGCGGUGCCUGCCUCAAAACAAAUGCUUUUCAAUCCGUCAAUCAAUCAGUUGACAUGGAUCAUCUUUUCUCAGCACUGAUGUAUGGACUACAACUUGGAAUUCCAUUAAAGCUCCUGGGGUCAAGAAA
rnacentral:lncRNA from 1 species